GAAAUCUCAGCCAUUCAGCGUUUGGGUCAAGACAAAGGCAGGUUCUGGACAGAAGUACGCUGUCAGGGAGUGUUUACUUUGCCUCCACUUCUGAUCCUCCCCGCCCUGGUGCUGCUCCGGGUCACAUACUCGUCCUGAGCCGGCUUCAGCCUCUCCGCGCAGAAGUCUCCCGGAGCCGACUUCUGCGAGUCGAGUACUCUCAUGUGAAGUCUACCAAGCUCGUGUUCAAGGGAACCAAGGCGAAGAGGCGAGAUGGAAAGAAAGUAUCAAGGAGUGAGCUGAAGCCACUGCCUUUGAGAACCCUCUCGAGGAGUCUGGCCUCAUGAAGAUGCCAGAAUAAGUGGCAGUAAGAAGAAAAAGAAAAAAGAUAAGAAGAGAAAAAGAGAAGAAGAUGAAGAAACCCAGCUUGAUAUGUUGGAAUCUGGUGGACAGUAACAAACUUUGGUGAAAUUUCAGGAACCAUAGCCAUUGAAAUGGAUGAGGGAACCUAUAUACAUGCACUCAACAAUGGUCUUUUUACCCUGGGAGCUCCACACAAAGAAGUUGAUGAGGGCCCUAGUCCUCCAGAGCAGUUUACGGCUGUCAAAUUAUCUGAUUCCAGAAUCACCCUGAAAUCUGGCUAUGGAAAAUAUCUUGGUAUAAAUUCAGAUGAACUUGUUGUUGGGCAUUCAGAUGCAAUUGGACCAAGAGAACAAUGGGAACCAGUCUUUAAAAAUGGGAAAAUGGCUUUCUCGGCCUCAAAUAGCCGCUUUAUUAGAUGCAGUGCAAAAAGUAAAACAGCAGGAGAAGAAGAAAUGAUCAAGAUUAGAUCCUGUGCUGAAAGAGAAACCAAGGAAAAAGAUGACAUUCCAGAAGAAGACAAAGGAAAUAUAAAACAAUGUGAAAUCAAUUACGUAAAGAAAUUUCAGAGCUUCCAAGACCACAAACUUAAAAUAAGUAAAGAAUACAGUAAAAUUCUUAAAAAGGCUCAGAAAGAUGGAUUUUUGCAUGAAACGCUUCUGGACAG